rnacentral:piRNA from 1 species
UGCAGGUUGCCCCAAGACUGUGGUGUGC